GACAUCCGCGGACCGUCGCGGCUCGUGCCUUUGCGCUCACACACGCAUAAGGAGACACACACCUGACCCACCCUCCUCUCUCCCCCUGCAUCUACCGGCACCAAAGACAUCUGCCUGGCAGUGCACUUCAUUUCGGCUUCACGACGGCACAGACGCGCCCGCAGCGCACAUCAAAGAACGGGAGCGACUCCGUCUUGUGUGUGUGUGCGCGCGCUCUGGGUUUCUCACUUCUGCCACCUCCGCACACACAGCGGCGGCACACCGGCCGCUUCACAGCUCUCUCCCGUCUUUACGUCGCAUCUCGCUCUCGCGGUCUCUCCGCGGCGGUGCCCUCCUGCCCUUCUCUUCGCCGAGGCGCCAUCUCUCGUUGCCCCGCCUCUUCCGUUGAAUAACGCAUCCCCGCCCUGUCAUGCUGCGCAGGCGUCUCGUUCAGGCCUCCACGGCGCUUCGGUGUGGCAGCACCGCUGCCCUGGCGGCUCCCUUCGGCCCUUUCGGGUGCGGCGGCCCCCGCAAAACUGCCGUGGCUGCUGUGGCGUGCUCGCCGUUGGCAUCGAGCACGGCGGCACACCCUACGUUACGGACGAGCUGCCGAUGGCAGUCGACAGGCGUCACGCCGUGGAAUAGCAGCGGCAACAGCGGUGGAGGCGGCAACGGCGGCCAGCAGCAGGGACGCACGUGGGUGAACCCGAACGCUGUGCCGCCGGGCGAGUUCCUAAAGAAGUACGCGCGCGACUUGACCGAGGAGGCGCGCAUGGGUCGCCUGGACCCCAUCGUGGGGCGCGAGGAGGUCAUUCGACGCACCAUCCAGGUCGUCUCGCGGCGUACCAAGAACAACCCGGUGCUGAUUGGUGAGCCCGGCGUCGGUAAGACGGCCAUCGUCGAAGGUCUGGCGCAGCGGAUCGUGAAGGGCGAGGUGCCAGAGAGCAUCAAGGACCGCCAGGUGUACGCGCUAGACAUGGGCACCCUCGUCGCCGGCGCCAAGUUCCGCGGCGAGUUCGAGGAGCGCCUCAAGGGGGUGCUCAAGGACACCAUACAGUCGCACGGCAAGGUUAUCUUGUUUAUCGACGAGCUGCAUACGUUGGUCGGCGCCGGCUCCUCCGGCGAUGGGUCGAUGGACGCGGCGAACCUGCUGAAGCCGUCACUGGCGCGCGGCGAGCUGCACUGCAUCGGCGCCACCACCUUGGACGAGUACCGCCAGCACAUCGAGAAGGACGCCGCGCUGGCGCGCCGCUUCCAGUCGGUGCUGGUUACGGAGCCCACUGUGGAAGAGACCAUCUCCAUUCUGCGCGGCAUCAAGGAGAAGUACGAGGCCCACCACGGCUGCCUCAUCAAGGACGAGGCCCUCGUCUACGCCGCUGUCAACUCCCACCGCUACCUCUCGGAGCGUCGCCUGCCAGACAAGGCCAUCGACCUUAUCGACGAGGCCGCUAGCCGCCUGCGCCUGCAGCAGGAGUCGAAACCAGAGGCGCUCGACCUCAUCGAGCGCGAGCUGAUCCGCCUGAAGAUCGAGGCGGAGGCGGUGAAGAAGGAUAAGGACGAGGUGGGCAAGGAGAAGCUGGAGAACUUGUACGAGCAAAUUUCGCAGAAGCAGAAGGAGUACGACGCACUCGAGGAGCGGUGGAAGAAGGAGAAGAACCUGUUCCAGACGAUCAAGCAGCGCACCGAGGAACUCGACGUGCUGCGGCACCACCUCGAGCAGGCGAUGAACAGCGGCGACUUUGCCAAGGCGGGCGAGAUACAGCACAGCCAAAUCCCCAACCUGCUGAAGCAGAUCGAGAAGGACAAGCACCUCGCCAGCUCCAAGAACUUCAUGGUGCACGACAGCGUCACCUCAAAGGACAUUGCUGAGGUGAUUGCCCGCGCGACCGGCAUCCCCGUGGCGCAGCUCAUGACGAGUGAGCGGGAGAAGCUCAUUCACAUGGAUGCAGAGCUAAAGAAGACGAUCAUGGGCCAGGAUGCGGCUAUCGAGUCCAUUACGAAUGUGGUGCGCAUCUCUCGCGCCGGCCUGCACUCGCACAAGCGCCCGCUAGGCUCCUUUCUGUUCCUCGGCCCCACCGGCGUCGGUAAGACGGAGGUGUGCAAGAGCCUCGCCAAGUUCCUCUUCGACGACGAGUCGUUCAUCUGCCGCAUCGACAUGAGCGAGUACAUGGAACGGCACUCCGUGCACCGGCUGAUCGGCGCCCCACCAGGGUACGUCGGCUAUGAGGAAGGCGGCGAGCUGACGGAAUCGGUGCGGCGUCGCCCUUACCAAAUCGUCCUCUUCGACGAGUUCGAGAAGGCCCACCCGAGCGUGUCGAACAUUCUUCUCCAAGUGCUGGACGAGGGGCACCUGACCGACAGCCACGGCCGCCGCGUCGACUUCAAGAACACCAUCAUCAUCCUGACCUCCAACAUCGGCGCUGACGUCAUCGCCCGCCUGCCGGAGGGGGAGCCGAGCAUCAGUGCGAUGCCGGCUGUCAUGGAGCAGGUGCGCCAGCGCCUGGCGCCCGAGUUCAUUAACCGUCUCGACGACAUCAUCAUGUUUAACCGCCUCAGCCGUGAGGACAUCCGCAGCAUCGUGGAGAUUUUGUUCGCACAGGUGCAGAAAAUGCUGACGGAGCAUAACAUCACAUUGGAAGAGUCCACGGAGGUGUACGACUGGCUCAGCGUCAACGGCUACAGCGCUGUGUAUGGUGCGCGGCCCCUGAAGCGUCUCGUGCAGAGCGAACUGCUCAACCAACUGGCGCUGAUGUUGCUUGAUGGCCGCAUCCGUGAGGGUGAGCUUGUGAGGCUGUCUGUGCAGGACGGUCAUGUCGUGGUGGUUGCCAAUCACGCGCUCUCUCCUGAGAAGGGGCCGACUGACGCGCGACUGCUGGAUCAGUGAGGCCCCACCCGCACAUGGGAAUGCGAAGGGACGCUGCCGCCGUCACCACCGCCCCUUCGCCCCCCCGCCGCGAAUGCCCGCGCCAGCGCAGCCGUAGAACGGAGCAGCGGUUACUCCGUCCCGAUUUUCUCUUUGAGCUUUUAUUAUAGUGGCACGCGGAUAAGCGUCUGUCGGUGUAUGGGUGGGUGGUGGGGAGGCGAGAGCGGUGGGCAGUGACACCUCUUGCUCAGGGUGGACACGAUAUGACGUCCUCUUCGCUCUUCGCCUCUCCCACCACCACCACCGCGAGGCAGGCCCCCCCCCCUGCCCUUCUUGCGGUGCGCCGCUGGUACACCGCGCAGAUGUGUGCGUGUGCGUGUGUGUGUGUCGUCGUCCUUUGUUGUGGUGUAUUUCGCGUUUUUUUAGCGUUGGCCUUCGUCUGCCUCGGCGCGCCGGCGCUCCUCCUCCGUUUAUCGCUGUUUUCUCCGGCAUUAUUAUAAAGCCGACCAUCUCGAAAACACACACGCGCGUGCGCCUUCUUCUUUCACAUGAUCCACGCUUUCUCCAACC
rnacentral:misc_RNA from 1 species